UACGUAGGAGGCGAGCGUUGUCCGGAGUUACUGGGCGUAAAGGGUGCGCAGGCGGCGGUUCGCGUGGCGAGAUGAAAUCUCCUGGCUUACCUGGGAGGAUGGUCGCCAGACGGGAUCGCUUGAGGGUCGGAGAGGGGCGUGGAAUUCCGGGUGGGGCGGUGAAAUGCGUAGAGAUCCGGAGGAACACCGACGGCGUAGGCAGCGCCCUGGACGACACCUGACGCUGAGGCACGAAAGCUGGGGGAGCGAACAGG
rnacentral:rRNA from 1 species